GAUGAACGCUGACAGAAUGCUUAACACAUGCAAGUCGAUGGGGAAGUGGUGCUUGCACCAUGGUAACCAUGGCGGACGGGUGAGUAACGCGUAAGGAACUUGCCUGCGGGACUGGGAUAACAGCAGGAAACUGCUGAUAAUACCGGAUAAGGUCAUUAAGCUGCAUAGCUUAGUGAUGAAAGGAGACGCCUGCGGAGAGCCUUGCGUCCUAUUAGCUAGUUGGAGGGGUAACGGCCCACCAAGGCGAAGAUAGGUAGCCGGCCUGAGAGGGUGGACGGCCACAAGGGGACUGAGAUACGGCCCUUACUCCUACGGGAGGCAGCAGUGGGGAAUAUUGGACAAUGGGGGCAACCCUGAUCCAGCAAUUCUGUGUGCACGAAGACGGUUUUCGGAUUGUAAAGUGCUUUCAGCAGGGAAGAAGGAAGUGACGGUACCUGCAGAAGAAGCGACGGCUAGAUACGUG
rnacentral:rRNA from 1 species